UGACAUCCUCUGACAAUCCUAGAGAUAGGACGUCCCCUUCGGGGGCAGAGUGACAGGUGGUGCAUGGUUGUCGUCAGCUCGUGUCGUGAGAUGUUGGGUUAAGUCCCGCAACGAGCGCAACCCUUGAUCUUAGUUGCCAGCAUUCAGUUGGGCACUCUAAGGUGACUGCCGGUGACAAACCGGAGGAAGGUGGGGAUGACGUCAAAUCAUCAUGCCCCUUAUGACCUGGGCUACACACGUGCUACAAUGGACAGAACAAAGGGCAGCGAAACCGCGAGGUUAAGCCAAUCCCACAAAUCUGUUCUCAGUUCGGAUCGCAGUCUGCAACUCGACUGCGUGAAGCUGGAAUCGCUAGUAAUCGCGGA
rnacentral:rRNA from 1 species